GGUUGGGAUCAUACCAGCACUAAUGCACCGGAUCCCAUCAGAACUCCGCAGUCAAGCGUGCUUGGGCGAGAGUAGUACUAGGAUGGGUGACCCCCUGGGAAGUCCUCGUGUUGCAACCC
rnacentral:rRNA from 1 species